rnacentral:rRNA from 1 species
UACGUAGGGUGCAAGCGUUGUCCGGAAUUAUUGGGCGUAAAGAGCUCGUAGGCGGUUCGUCGCGUCGGCUGUGAAAACCCGGAGCUCAACUCCGGGCCUGCAGUCGAUACGGGCGGACUCGAGUUCGGCAGGGGAGACUGGAAUUCCUGGUGUAGCGGUGAAAUGCGCAGAUAUCAGGAGGAACACCGGUGGCGAAGGCGGGUCACUGGUCCGGUACUGACGCUGAGGUGCGAAAGCGUGGGGAGCAAACAGG